UACAGAGGGUGCAAGCGUUAAUCGGAAUUACUGGGCGUAAAGCGCGCGUAGGUGGUUUGUUAAGUUGGAUGUGAAAGCCCCGGGCUCAACCUGGGAACUGCAUCCAAAACUAGCAGACUAGAGGACGGUAGAGGGAGGUGGAAUUCCGGGUGUAGUGGUGAAAUGCGUAGAUAUCGGGAGGAAUACCAGUGGCGAAGGCGGCCUUCUGGACUGAUACUGACACUGAGGUGCGAAAGCGUGGGUAGCAAACAGG
rnacentral:misc_RNA from 1 species